ACCCCACCGGCCCUGAAAAACUCCAAAUGGCUCGCAAAAGUUAUGGCCGUGGCCGACGAAGAAGACUCGAUCUCUCACCGCCUCUCUUGAGAUUUUUAUUGAACAGUUUGUCGGCGAAACCUUUAAAAACCCAUUUUACCCCGCAUUUCUCACCGUCCAAGCCUUACCUUGUAUCGCCUUGUUUUCUCUCUCGAAACCGGAAUUAGUACCCAUCGAUCCUUGUACCUUAACAAAUGAACCCAGAAGACCAAAAAUCCUCAAAAUCGCCCCUUAAGCCUUCCCAUUCAUCUUCCACAACGGAGCCGGAGACGACGCCGUCCUUGUUACAGCCAUUGAUGGGUUCUCAACUGUUCCCUCCUGGGUCUUUGAGUAUGGAGGAUAUGAGCUACUCUGGGUCUCCUUUAUCUGCGUCACUCCCUUCUCCUUUAGUGGAGUUUGGAGCAUUCUCUGCUAUAGAACAAUCAGUUUAUUCUCCUUCAGAGAUGUGUGAAUUCGGAGCAAAUC
rnacentral:misc_RNA from 1 species